AUACUUACCUGGCAGGGGAGAUACCAUGAUCACGAAGGUGGUUUUCCCAGGGCGAGGCUUAUCCAUUGCACUCCGGAUGUGCUGACCCCUGCGAUUUCCCCAAAUGUGGGAAACUCGACUGCAUAGUUUGUGGUAGUGGGGGACUGCGUUCGCGCUCUCCCCUG
ensembl:snRNA U1 U1 spliceosomal RNA